GUUUUUUUAGAAAUAAAUUUAAUUUACAAGUUUUUAAUUUUUUGUUUAUUUAUUAAAAUAAAAAAAUUAUUAAUUUGAAUAUUUUAAGGGAUAAGCUUUAAAAUAAAUUAUUAAAAAUUAGUAAUUUUAAUAUAAAAUGUAUGAAUAGAAUUUUCAAUCAUUUGUAAAUUUGUUAUAAAUUAUUUUAUAAUUUUUAUUAUUUACUAUUAUUUUAAGUUUUUAUAAAAAUUUUUUCAUAAAUUUUUUAUGAAAAUUAAUAAUGAUAAAAUUAGUAUAUUUAUAUUGUACAUAUAAUUUUAUUUGAUAAGUUUAUAUAAAGAACUCGGCAAAUUUAUAUACUCGCCUGUUUAACAAAAACAUGUCUUUUUGAGUUAUUUUUAAAGUCUGACCUGCCCACUGAAUAAUUUUGAAUGGCCGCAGUAUUUUAACUGUGCAAAGGUAGCAUAAACAUUAGUCUUUUAAUUGAAGGCUGGUAUGAAUGGUUGGACGAAGUAUAAACUGUUUCAUAAAAAUUUAUUGUAGAAUUUUAUAUUUUAGUUAAAAAGCUAAAAUUUAAUUAAAAGACGAGAAGACCCUAUAAAUCUUUAUAUUUAAUAUAAUUUUAAUUUUUUUGAUGUAUUUUAUUUUAAUUUUAUUAAUUAUUUUGUUGGGGUGAUGUUAAAAUUUAAUGAACUUUUAAUUAUUAAAAAUCAUUAAUUUAUGAUUUAUUGAUCCGUUAAUAACGAUUAUAAGAUUAAGUUACUUUAGGGAUAACAGCGUAAUUUUUUUGGAGAGUUCUUAUUGAUAAAAAAGUUUGCGACCUCGAUGUUGGAUUAAGAUAUAUUUUUAGGUGUAGCCGCUUAAAUAUU
rnacentral:rRNA from 1 species